ACGCUCGACACCUACAGGAGGCAGCAGUGGGGAAUAUUGCACAAUGGAGGAAACUCUGAUGCAGCGAUGCCGCGUGAGGGAAGAAGGUUUUCGGAUUGUAAACCUCUGUCUUUGGGGACGAUAAUGACGGUACCCAAGGAGGAAGCUCCGGCUAACUACGUGCCAGCAGCAGGACGGUAAUCUGGAGGCGGGCGUGGACGAAGGC
rnacentral:rRNA from 1 species